ensembl:lncRNA
AUGAGUGAAAUAUCAGAUAAAAAAAGAAGAAAAACAUGUGGUGAUGAAAAGAAUGAAGAAGAAGAAAAAAAAAAAUUAAGUUGUCCUAACAGCUCUUUUUUUAACGAUGAGAAUGUAGCCUCACAAAAUGAAAAUAAAUCACUGCUUAACAGUCAUUUAAAUAAAAACAGAGAAGAAAAAAAAAAAGAAGAUGCCAUCGGAGAGAGUAAAAAAGAAAGUAAAAAGAAGUGCCAACAAUAUUCUAAUAAUUAUGCAAAUAAACAAAAAAAUAAAUUAAAAAAAAAACACACAUUUAAAAAUAUUGACAAUCCUAAGUUAGAAGCAGAAGGAAAAAAAAAACAAGUAAAAAAAGACAAAAGAGAAAUGAUAAAUGAAAAAGAACAACAAUCGUGUACAAAUAUAGACAUAACUAAAAAUGAUAUAAACGAUAGAAAAGUUAAAAAAAGAAAUAGCCUUAACAGUAAUAGCAGUCAUGGGGAGUAUAACAGUUUUAAAAAAAAUACGAAUGAACAGAAGCAUUCAAAACAUUUUUUAAUUGAAACAACAGAUAAUAAAGAUAUAAUAUUAAACAACUUAAAAAAAUUAGAAGAAAAUAAAUUAUAUGUAAAAAAUAUAAGUGAUGACAUCACGAAAGAUGAUAUACAUAAUUACUUUUCAAAAGUUCAAGGUUAUAUUGAUACAAGAGUUGUUUAUAAUUACCAAGGUAAAACAAAAGGAUUUGCAUAUGUAGAAUUUGAUACGAAAGAAAAUGCAGCUAUUUUUUUAAAUACUUUAGAAAAUAGUAAUAAGCCAAUUUUUAAAACAUUUACAUUAAAAAAUCAGAACUUGUACAUAUCCUUAUCUAACCCUGAAAAAAAUAUAUAUGAAGAAAAAAAAGUUUUUAUGAAAUUUAUUAAAUGUGAUAAUAUGCAAGAUGAUAUAAAAUUAAAAGAAAUUAUUAAAAACUUUUUUGCUUCUCACUCAAUUGAUGUACUAGAUAUAAGGCUUUUGGGUGAAAAAGAAAACAUAUACGGAUAUCUUGAACUAAAAAACAAUGAAGAUGUUACAUUGUGUAUUAACAGUAUUAAAGAUUGUAUUAUUAAUGAAGGAAUUCAUUUUAGCUUACAUUAUUGCAUUCCAAUUAUAAAAAAAAAAAAAGUUAUUUUUGAUAAAGAGAAAAUAAAAAAGAUUAAAGAUAAAAAGAAAAAUGAAAAAAAAGAAGAAAAUAACUGUACUAUUGUAGUAAAAAAUUUAAAUUUUAAUACCAGAAAAUAUAAAAUAAAAAGUUUAUUUGAACAAAUUGGAGAAAUAGAUGAAAUAUAUUUAAGUAAAAAACUUUCAAAAAAUAAUAUCAAGAGAAAUAAAGGUUAUGCAUUUGUUAUUUUUAAAAACCCUGACGAUGCCACAUCUUCUCUAAUUUUAAAUCACUCGAUUAUUGAUGGAAGAUCAAUUACUAUAUCGAAAUACUUUCAAAAUGAAAGUAUAAAAAAAAACAAUUAUUCAAAUACAGAUAAUGACUAUGCUAACAACAAUUUAUCAAGUAAUAAUGAUGGUCAGUAUGUGCAAAGAAAUAAUGCUUAUAAAAAAAACUUAGAGAAAAAAAAUUAUUCUUCUUAUGAAAAAAAAAGAAUCAACUUAAGUACCACUACUAAUACUACUCACAUUGACCAAAAUAUACAAACAGAAACAAAACGGGUCGACGAAACGACAACGGGUACACCCGCCAUGACGAAUGAAGAUUUCAGAAAGCUCCUUUUUAGUUAGGAUAUAUAUAUAUACAUAUAUUUUUAUUAAUCCAAUAUUUUAUUUGCACAAUAUUUGUUUUUUGGCUAGUUUAUUGUAUUUCAAACAUAAAAAAUAGUAUAUGCCCAUGUGUAUGCGUAAAUAUAUGAAAUAUACGAUUCACGUAAAUAAGUAUACAUAUGCAUAAACGUACAUGCACAUAUAUAUAUAUAUAUAUAUAAAUAUAUAUAAUAAGUGUAAACUUAAAAAAAUGCAUAUUAGUACGAUUUUGUUUUCGUAAUAUAUUUUAUUCACCACUUAUUUUCUAUUUGAUUAACUUCUUUCAACCAUUUACUCCUCCAUUUAAUCUUUCUCUUCUUUUUUUUUUUUUUUUUAUACUUUUUUUUUUUUUUUUUUUUUUCACUUAGUACAUCCUAGCUAAGGCUCUAACCUUUUUUUUGUAUUCAUUUGUGUUAUUCUUCAUUUGCACCUGUUAAUUUGUAAGAAAAAAUGUGUUGUUAGGUCAUAUGUAUGCGUAUAUAUAUACGAUGUGAGCUAUACUCAUAAUUAAAAAAAUAAAAAAUAAAAAAUAAUAAUAACA